rnacentral:tmRNA from 1 species
GGGGGCGCUCGGUUUCGACGGGGUGUCGAAGGUCUGCAGAGCAUGUCAAGGACCAUGACCUUGUAAAAACUUGGAAAAAAAAUAAACGCUAACGACACUCAAGAGUUGGCUCUCGCCGCCUAAUUAGCGCGGCGGCGUCUCCUAAAAAACCCCGCCGUGAGGUGUUUUAGACAGGCGUAAAAAAUUCCGGCUAGUCAAGGCAGACGCCCUUUCUGCUUUGGCAAAACUUUUAGGGGCUUUUCCCGACUUUAGCCGGUUCCGCGGGCAUGGAAGGGAGAGACUUAAACGCGGGGCUAAGCAUGUAGCGCUGUAGAUAAUAGGCAUUGCGGACGGGGGUUCGAUUCCCCCCGCCUCCAUUG